GGUUCAGGACGAGCGCUGGCGGCGUGCCUAAUACAUGCAAGUCGAACGGUCUUUCUAUGGAAGCUUGCUUCCACUGAGAAGAUAGUGGCGAACGGGUGAGUAACACGUGGGUAACCUGCCCAUAAGAGGGGGGAUAACAUCCGGAAACGGGUGCUAAUACCGCAUAGUUUUCUUGAUCGCAUGAUCGGGAAAGGAAAGACGGCCUUUGUGCUGUCGCUUAUGGAUGGACCCGCGGCGUAUUAGUUAGUUGGUGAGGUAACGGCUCACCAAGACGAUGAUACGUAGCCGACCUGAGAGGGUGAUCGGCCACAUUGGGACUGAGACACGGCCCAAACUCCUACGGGAGGCAGCAGUAGGGAAUCUUCCGCAAUGGACGAAAGUCUGACGGAGCAACGCCGCGUGAGUGAAGAAAGGUUUUCGGAUCGUAAAACUCUGUUGUCAGAGAAGAACAAGUUGGAGAGUAACUGCUCCAGCCUUGACGGUAUCUGACCAGAAAGCCACGGCUAACUACGUGCCAGCCGCUGC
rnacentral:rRNA from 1 species